rnacentral:rRNA from 1 species
GACGAACCGUGCGAACGUUGUUCGGAAUCACUGGGCUUAAAGGGCGCGUAGGCGGCUUGGCAAGUCCGGGGUGAAAGCCCCCAGCUCAACUGGGGAAGUGCCUUGGAUACUGCCAGGCUCGAGCGAGAUAGGGGUCGUGGGAACUUCCGGUGGAGCGGUGAAAUGCGUUGAUAUCGGAAGGAACGCCGGUGGCGAAAGCGCACGACUGGAUCUCUUCUGACGCUGAGGCGCGAAAGCCAGGGGAGCAAACGGG